rnacentral:rRNA from 1 species
UGGGGAAUAUUGCACAAUGGGCGCAAGCCUGAUGCAGCCAUGCCGCGUGUGUGAAGAAGGCCUUCGGGUUGUAAAGCACUUUCAGCGAGGAGGAAGGGUUCAGUGUUAAUAGCACUGUUCAUUGACGUUACUCGCAGAAGAAGCACCGGCUAACUCCGUGCCAGCAGCCGCGGUAAUACGGAGGGUGCAAGCGUUAAUCGGAAUUACUGGGCGUAAAGCGCACGCAGGCGGUUUGUUAAGUCAGAUGUGAAAUCCCCGCGCUUAACGUGGAACUGCAUUUGAAACUGGCAAGCUAGAGUCUUGUAGAGGGGGGUAGAAUUCCAGGUGUAGCGGUGAAAUGCGUAGAGAUCUGGAGGAAUACCGGUGGCGAAGGCGGCCCCCCUGGACAAAGACUGACGCUCAGGUGCGAAAGCGUGGGGAGCAAAACAGGAUUAGAUACCCUGGUAGUCCACGCUGUAAACGAUGUCGACUUGGAGGUUGUGCCCUUGAGGCGUGGCUUCCGGAGCUAACGCGUUAAGUCGNCCGCCUGGGGGAGUACGGCCGCAAGGUUAAAAC